rnacentral:rRNA from 1 species
GAUGAGCGCUGGCGGCGUGCCUAAUACAUGCAAGUCGAGCGGACGGACGAGGCUCUUGCUUCGCUGAUGUUAGCGGCGGGCGGGUGAGUAACACGUGUAUACCCUCCCUAUAAGACUGAGAUCACUUCGGGAAACCGGAUCUAACACCGGAUAAGAUUUUGAACCGCAUGGUUCAAAGGAGAAAGACGGUCUUGCUGUCACUAAUCGAGGCAUCCUCGCUGGAUUAGCUAGUUGGUAAGGUAACGGCCUACCAAGGCUACGAUGCGUGGCCGAACUGAGAGGGUGAUCGGCCACACUGGAACUGAGACACGGUCCAGACUCCUACGGGAGGCAGCAGUAGGGAAUCUUCGGCAAUGGGCGAAAGCCUGACGCAGCCAGGCCGCGUGAGUGAUGAAGGUCUUCGGAUCGUAAAGCUCUGUUACUAGGGAAGAACAGCUGUGUCAGGAAACGUGGCCAUCUUGACGGUACCUACUAAAAAAGCACCGGCUAACUACGUG